GACGUAGGGAGCGAGCGUUGUCCGGAUUCAUUGGGCGUAAAGAGCGCGCAGGCGGUUUGUCGCGUCUGCUGUGAAAACUGGAGGCUCAACCUCCAGCCUGCAGUGGGUACGGGCAGACUAGAGUGCGGUAGGGGAGAUUGGAAUUCCUGGUGUAGCGGUGGAAUGCGCAGAUAUCAGGAGGAACACCGAUGGCGAAGGCAGAUCUCUGGGCCGUAACUGACGCUGAGGAGCGAAAGCAUGGGGAGCGAACAGG
rnacentral:rRNA from 1 species